rnacentral:rRNA from 1 species
GACGAACGCUGGCGGCGUGCUUAACACAUGCAAGUCGAACGGAAAGGCCUGCUUUCCCUUGUGGAUUGCGGGUACUCGGGUGGCGAACGGGUGAGUAACACGUGAGUGAUCUGCCCCCAACUUGGGUAUAAGCCUGGGAAACUGUGUCUAAUUCCCUAUAGGACUGCAGGGUGGUGCCGUGGGUGGAGAACGUUUUUCUAGUUGUUGGUGCCGAGCUCGCGGCGUAGCAGGUUGUUGGGGGGGUGGUGUCCCACCACGGCGGGGAGCGGUUGCCGGCGUGGGAGGGUGGACGGCCACAUUGGGACUGGGAUCCGGCCCCGACUCGUGCGGGAAGCAGCAGUGGGGAAUAAUGCGCAAUGGGCGGAAGGGUGCUGCAGCGACGCCGUGUGGGGGAUGACGGGCUUCGGGUGGUAAGCUACUUUCGAAGGAGAGGAAGCCACCUGGUUGGAAGGGUGGUGACGGUAGUGGUAGAAGAAGCCCCGGCUAACUACGUG